CCGAUCCGCACACAUUGGAAUUUCGCUAACUCCUCCGAAGGCUUUCGUUCCACCGGCACCAAAUUUGCUCAGGCCAAUCUACACCCCAUGGCCAUUAAAAGUUGUACAAAUCAUGACGCUGCAUCCCACGGUUUACGUUCUAGGGGGCGCCAAAGAUAACCCAGAAAUCCACAUUCUUAAAAGUCGUAUAACUUUUUAUUUUUGUCCUCACUGGCCUCCAAGUUUUCUAGGAUGAUGCAAUGUCCAGCCAUCAACACAUUUGUGAAGGAAUUUUUACUCCCCAAAAGAGCGCCCCCCAUGGCAGGAGAAAAAAGUCAAUUUUUUCUUGUCUCCUAAGGCGAAAAUUCACACUAUUGACUGUCACGCCUUUACGCUUUGUCAUAUUGACACAAAAAUUGACACACACAUGUAUCUCAGUAAGAUCUACAAAAAAGUCAGUGCGGGCGUAUCUGUCAAAUGUACGGUGAAAGGGCUAUUUCGCAUUUUUUGCCGAUCCGCACACAUUGGAAUUUCGCUAACUCCUCCGAAGGCUUUCGUUCCAAAGGCACCACAUUUGCUGAGGCCAAUCUACACCCCAUGGCCAUUAAAAGUUGUACAAAUCAUGACGCUGCACCCCACGGUUUACGUUCUAGGGGGCGCCAAAGAUAACCCAAAAAUCCACAGUCUUAAAAGUCUUAUAACUUUUUAUUUUUGUCCUCACUGGCCUCCAAGUUCUCUAGGAUGAUGCAAUGUCCAGCCAUCAACACAUUUGUGAAGGAAUUUUUACUCGCCAAAAGAGCGCCCCCCAUGGCAGGAGAAAAAAGUCCAUUUUUUCUUGUCUCCUAAGGCGAAAAUACACAUUGUUGACUGUCACGCCUUUACGCUUUGUCAAAAUGACACAAAAUUUGACACACACAUGUAUCUCAAUAAGAUCUACAAAAAAGUCAGUGCGGGCGUAUCUGUCAAAUGUACGGUUAAAGGGUUAUUUCGCAUUUUUUGCCGAUCCGCACACAUUGGAAUUUCGCUAACUCCUCCUAAAUCUUUUGUCCCAUCGGCUUCAAAUUUGCUCAGGUCAAUCUACACCCCAUGGCCAUUAAAAGUUGUACAAAUCAUGACGCUGCACCCCACAGUUUACGUUCUAGGGGGCGCCAAAGAGGACCCAAAUAUCCACAUUUUUAAAAGUCGUAUAACUUUUUAUUUUUGUCCUCACUGGCCUCCAAGUUUUCUAGGAUUAUGCAAUGUCCAGCCAUCAACACAUUUGUGAAGGAAUUUUUUCUCCCCAAAAGAGCGCCCCCCCAUGGCAGGAGAAAAAGUCAAGUUUUUCCUGCCCAUCGCUCAAUGGCUCAAACGCAUCGCUCUCUCUGCAAAACCGAAAGGAGGAGCAACUUGCCAUUUGGAUAUAUACUAGCUGUGUUUGUGCCCUCACUCAUGGUCCAGACUUUUUUCAAAUAGGACAUGUAGUUUGUCUGCAGCGAGCGUUUUGGUAGAAACUGCGCCUCCCAUUCAUUAUAAUGGGAAAUGACCACAGACAAGUGCGCACACCAUCUUUGGACCUUGAGUGUGACGCAAUCGGGAGGGGGAGGCGGUCGCGCUGGGGGCGGCGCGACGCGGCUCGGGCCCGACAGUGCCCCACCGGGGCCCUAGUUGUUUCUUUUUUCUUUUUCCUCCCCUUUGAACUGGAAAAUGGCCCACUUCCCACUGGCGAAAACUCAUGAAAUUUGGCAGGACGACCGGGCCUGGUGAAAAAUUUGAUAUUCUGAAGUCGCCCAAACAAUACAAUGCAAAAUGGCUCCAUAGCGCCCCCUAAGGUGAAAAAUUCACCUGACGCCUGUACGCUUUGUCAAAAUGACACAAAAAUUGACACACACAUGUAUCUCAAUAAGAUCUACAAAAAAGUCAGUGCGGGCGUAUCUGUCAAAUGUACGGUUAAAGGGUUAUUGCGCAUUUUUUGCCGAUCCGCACACAUUGGAAUUUCGCUAACUCCUCCGAAGGCUUUCGUUCCACCGGCACCACAUUUGCUCAGGCCAAUCUACACCCCAUGGCCAUUAAAAGUUAUUCAAAUCAUGAUGCUGCACCCCACGAUUUAGGUUCUAGGGGGCGCCAAAGAUAACCCUAAAAUCCACAUAUUUCAAAGUCUUAUAACUUUUUAUUUUUGCCCUCACUGGCCUCCAAGUUUUCUAGGAUGAUGCAAUGUCCAGCCAUCAACACAUUUGUGAAGGAAUUUUUACUCCCCAAAAGAGCGCCCCCCCAUGGCAGGAGAAAAAAGUCCAUUUUUUCUUGUCCCAUAAGGUGAAAAUUCACACUAUUGACUGUCACGCCUGUACGCUUUGUCAAAAUUACACAAAAAUUGACACACACAUGUAUCUCAAUAAGAUCUACAAAAAAGUCAAAAAGCGCGUAUCUGUAUAAUGUACGGUUAAAGGGCUAUUUCGCAUUUUUUGCCGAUUCGCACACAUUGGAAUGUGGCUAUCUCCUCCUAAGGCUUUCGUCCCACCGAUACCAAAUUUGCUCAGGGCAAUCUACACCCCAUGCCCAUUCAAAGUUGUAAAAAUCAUGCCGCUGCACCCCACGGUUUACGUUCUAGGGGACGCCAAAGAUGACCCAAAAAUCCACAUUCUUAAAAGUCAUUUUGGCCACUGCAGGAGUACAGAGUACUGCAGUUUUAGGGGGCGCCAAAGAUGACCCAAAAAUCCACAUUCUUAAAAGUCUUUUUGGCCACUGCAGGAGUACAGAGUACUGCAGGAUACACACACACACACACACACACACACACACACACACACACUCAGAGUCUGUUUUUUAGCACCUGCAAAAACAUGCUGUUUACAUAUUUGACAAGAAUGCAGAGGCUUCCUUUUGCCCCUGAAAAAAAUCAGAUUUCAAACACAACUUGACUGUUCAUUUCUCCAAAAGACAACCAUGAAGCUCCAUCCAAACCUGAAGCAGAUAGUUGGUGCAUGUGUACAGUAACCUGAGGGGAGUGAGGUGACUAUUUCUGAGGAGAACAUGAGCAGUGAAGAUUCACCUUGGAGCUAGAACAGGGACGUGCACAUGAUUAUACAGGGGCAGGGGCUCAAGUUUUUUCCAGUCAUUUAUACAAUAUGGAAAUUAAUGUGAAAUUAAACCACAAAUAUGUGUGAUGAACUGUUUUUAAAACUUAAACUUCAAAUAAAAAUUGUAAACUUCAAAACAUAUGCAAAUUUUUAACAAAGAACAUAGUAAUUUACCUCUAUUUACAUCAAAAUGCAGGCAAUGGCCCAGGCGUUCUUUGUAAAAUUAUUUACAAAACACUGUAUAGUCUCACAAAUGUCACUUUUUAUUUAUGCCACUACAAAAAAACAUGAUGUAAAUGAUGCAUGAUGUAAAACAUGAUGUAAAAAACUUGUGUAGAUCCUCCUCUAUGUCAGUCCAUGUGUAAUUUUUCCAUAAUUCUUUGUUUUUUGCAGCAUUUUUGUUAGUGUAACUGCAGAUUGUGCUGACAGUGUCUAUGGCACAAAAAAAAAAAAAAUUAAAAUGCCUCAACAUGAACCCCUGGUGGUCUCUGAGGGUGAAACCUGCUAACUGCUGCAGCUCUGUCAGCUUCAGUCUCCCAUGCAGAGCUCUGAGCGCAUGUGUGGCUCUGCACCCUUAGCAGCGUUGCUAACUCCUCAGUAGGGAAAGCCUGCUUCAUGUCAGAGUCUCUAAACUCCAGAAGAAGUCGAUAAAAGUCCCUUUCUUUCUAAAAAAAGUCGUUAGGGGGUCUGAAAAGUCAUUGAAUCUAACAACAAAGUCGCUAGGUUUGCAACUACGUGUCCCAGACUGCAUCCCUGCUGAGAGUCCCUCCCUCGCUUCUCAUGUUGCAGGAAGAACGUAAGCUCCCGCCCCUUGUCAAUCAGUCACCAUAUAAUUUUGGAUUGGUUGUUGUGGUGAAGUUUUCCACCAAUAGGAGAGAUGUUGUGGUGUGUUUUUUUUUUCUUUUGGCAAGCCUUUUCCGCCUGUAAGACCUGUCGCUAAUGUCUGCAUGCUAUGUUUUCCUGUCUCAUACAGCGCGAUCGAGCGCCGAACGUGAUCAAAAUAAGCAGAAAAAAAGUAUCGCGGACAUAAUUUAUCAUAACUCUGGUUUUAUUUGGCCUAUCAACACAAUUUAAAAACUGGUAUAUAGGUUGAGGUCCUCACUUUUGAGAUAAGUUGAAACGGAGAGUCAACGAGGCUCCGUCUUGCAGCUACAUCCGGUUAAAUAUGUCAUGUGACUUGAACGCACACACAGACACACACACACGCACACACACACACACACACACACACACUCAGAGUCUGGUUUUUAGCACCUGCAAAAACAUGCUAUUUACAUAUUUGACAAGAAUGCAGAGGCUCCUUUUGCCCCUGAAAAAAAUCAAAUUUCAAACACAACUUGACUGGUCAUUUCUCCAAAAGACAACCAUGAAGCUCCAUCCAAACCUGAAGCAGGCAGUUGGUGCAUGUGUACAGUAACCUGAGGGGAGUGAGGUGACUGCUUCUGAGGAGAACAUGACCAGUGAAGAUUCACCUUGGAGCUAGAACAGAGACAUGCACAUGAUUAUACAGGGGCAGGGGCUCAAGUUUUUUCCAGUCGUUUAUACAAUAUGGAAAUUAAUGUGAAAUUAAAACACAAAGUAUUAAUAGAAAGGUAAUGACUGUCCUGUGUAGGUGACAGUGAUAUCCAAUAGGCUAGGCACUCACGAGGCUGGCUGUGGCAAGUGUAAGUGAAAGCAACACGCACUGGCAGGAAGAACAGCAAACGCCGAUGAAGGAAAAGGGUCUUUGCAGUGAUGGGCGUUACCAGAGAGGGCGAUGGCCAGAGGACACAAAUGGGACGGGGAGGCAGCACGUUGGGGGGGGGGACGCGACACGGCUCGGGCCCGCCAGUGCCCCAACGGGGUCCUAGUUAGGGCCCGAGCCAGCUGCAGAGCAGCCGGGCGUAGGCCCUAUUAUUCCCCAAGUGGUUUUUAGGGCCCGAGCGUAGCUGCUAAGCAGCUGCGAGAGCCCUAUUAUUCCCCAAGUGGUUUUUCUUUGUUUCUUUCUUUCUUUCUUUCUUUCUUUCUUCUUUUUCCUCCCCUUUGAACUGGAAAAUGGCCCACUUCCCACUGGCGAAAACUCAUGAAAUUUGGCAGGACGACCGGGCCUGGUGAAAAAUUCGAUAUUCUGAAGUCGCCCAAACAAUAAAAUGCAAAAUGGCUCCAUAGCGCCCCCUAAGGUGGAAAUUCACACUAUUGACUGUCACGCCUGUACGCUUUGUCAUAUUGACACAAAAAUUGACACACAUAUGUAUCUCAAUAAGAUCUACAAAAAAGUCAGUGCGGCCGUAUCUGUCAAAAUUACGGUUAAAGGGUUAUUACGCAUUUUUUGCCGAUCCGCACACAUUGGAAUUUCGCUAACUCCUCCGAAGGCUUUCGUUCCACCGGCACCACAUUUGCUCAGGCCAAUCUACACCCCAUGGCCAUUAAAAGUUAUUCAAAUCAUGACGCUGCAUCCCACGGUUUAGGUUCUAGGGGGCGCCAAAGAUAACCGUAAAAUCCACAUAUUUAAAAGUCUUAUAACUUUUUAUUUUUGUCCUCACUGGCCUCCAAGUUUUCUAGGAUGAUGCAAUGUCCAGCCAUCAACACAUUUGUGAAGGAAUUUUUACUCCCCAAAAGAGCGCCCCCCCAUGGCAGGAGAAAAAAGUCCAUUUUUUCUUGUCCCCUAAGGUGAAAAUACACAUUGUUGAGUGUCACGCCUGUACGCUUUGUCAUAUUGACACAAAAUUUGACACACACAUGUAUCUCAAUAAGAUCUACGAAAAAGUCAAUGCACGCGUAUCUGUCAAAUGUACGGUUAAAGGGUUAUUCCGCAUUUUUUGCUGAUCAGCACACAUUGGAAUUUCGCUAACUCCUCCUAAGGCUGGCGUUCCACCGGCACCACAUUUGCUCAGGCCAAUCUACACCCCAUGGCCAUUAAAAGUUAUUCAAAUCAUGACGCUGCACCCCACGGUUUAGGUUCUAGGGGGCGCCAAAGAUAACCCUAAAAUCCACAUAUUUCAAAGUCUUAUAACUUUUUAUUUUUGUCCUCACUGGCCUCCAAGUUUUCUAGGAUGAUGCAAUGUCCAGCCAUCAACACAUUUGUGAAGGAAUUUUUACUCCCCAAAAGAGCGCCCCCCCAUGGCAGGAGAAAAAAGUCCAUUUUUUCUUGUCCCAUAAGGUGAAAAAACACAUUGUUGACUGUCAUACCUGUACGCUUUGUCAUAUUGACACAAAAUUUGACACACACAUGUAUCUCAAUAAGAUCUACGAAAAAGUCAAUGCGCGCAUAUCUGUAAAAUGUACGGUUAAAGGGCUAUUUUGCAUUUUUUGCCGAUUCGCACACAUUGGAAUGUGGCUAACUCCUCCUAAGGCUUUCGUCCCACUGACACCAAAUUUGCUCAGGCCAAUCUACACCCCAUGGCCAUUCAAAGUUGUAAAAAUCAUGACGCUGCACCCCACGGUUUACGUUCUAGGGGGCGCCAAAGAUGACCCAAAAAUCCACAUUCUUAAAAGAAUCCACAUCCCCCCCCCUAUGGCAGGAGAAAAAGUCAAGUUUUUCCUGCCCAUCGCUCAAUGGCUCAAUCGCAUCGCUCUCCAGGCAACACCGUAAGGAGGAGCAACCUGGCAUUUCGAUAUAUCAUAGCUGUGUUUGUGCCCUCACUCAUGGUCCAGACUUUUUUCAAAUAGGACAUGAAGUUUGUCUGCAGCGAGUGUUUUGGUAGAAACUGCGCCUCCCAUUCAUUAUAAUGGGAAAUGACCACAGACAAGUGCGCACACCAUCUUUGGUUCUUGAGUGUGACUCGAUCGGGACGGGGAGGCGGUCGCACUGGGGGCGGCGCGACGCGGCUCGGGCCCGACAGUGCCCCACCGGGGCCCUAGUUCUUUGUUUCUUUCUUUCUUUCUUUCUUUCUUCUUUUUCCUCCCCUUUGAACUGGAAAAUGGCCCACUUCCCACUGGCGAAAACUCAUGAAAUUUGGCAGGACGACCGGGCCUGGUGAAAAAUUCGAUAUUCUGAAGUCACCCAAACAAUAAAAUGCAAAAUGGCUCCAUAGCGCCCCCUAAGGUGGAAAUUCACACUAUUGACUGUCACGCCUGUACGCUUUGUCAUAUUGACACAAAAAUUGACACACAUAUGUAUCUCAAUAAGAUCUACAAAAAAGUCAGUGCGGCCGUAUCUGUCAAAUGUACGGUUAAAGGGUUAUUUCGCAUUUUUUGCCGAUCCGCACACAUUGGAAUUUCGCUAACUCCUCCGAAGGCUUUCGUUCCACCGGCACCACAUUUGCUCAGGCCAAUCUACACCCCGUGGCCAUUAAAAGUUAUCAAAAUCAUGACGCUGCACCCCAAGGUUUAGGUUCUAGGGGGCGCCAAAGAUAACCCUAAAAUCCACAUAUUUAAAAGUCUUAUAACUUUUUAUUUUUGUCCUCACUGGCCUCCAAGUUUUCUAGGAUGAUGCAAUGUCCAGCCAUCAACACAUUUGUGAAGGAAUUUUUACUCCCCAAAAGAGCGCCCCCCCAUGGCAGGAGAAAAAACUCCAUUUUUUCUUGUCCCCUAAGGUGAAAAUACACAUUGUUGAGUGUCACGCCUAUACGCUUUGUCAAAAUGACACAAAAAUUGACACACACAUGUAACUCAAUAAGAUCUACGAAAAAGUCAAUGCGCGCGUAUCUGUCAAAUGUACGGUUAAAGGGUUAUUUCGCAUUUUUUGCCGAUCCGCACACAUUGGAAUUUCGCUAACUCCUCCGAAGGCUUUCGUUCCACCGGCACCACAUUUGCUCAGGCCAAUCUACACCCCGUGGCCAUUAAAAGUUAUCAAAAUCAUGACGCUGCACCCCAAGGUUUAGGUUCUAGGGGGCGCCAAAGAUAACCCUAAAAUCCACAUAUUUAAAAGUCUUAUAACUUUUUAUUUUUGUCCUCACUGGCCUCCAAGUUUUCUAGGAUGAUGCAAUGUCCAGCCAUCAACACAUUUGUGAAGGAAUUUUUACUCCCCAAAAGAGCGCCCCCCCAUGGCAGGAGAAAAAAGUCCAUUUUUUC